GACGAACGCUGGCGGCGUGCUUAACACAUGCAAGUCGAACGAAGUGGCGAACGGGUGAGUAACGCGUAAUCAACCUGCCCUUCAGAGGGGGACAACAGUUGGAAACGACUGCUAAUACCGCAUACUGAAGGAGGGGAUUGCGUCUGAUUAGCUAGUUGGAGGGGAAACGGCCCACCAAGGCGAUGAUCAGUCGCCAGUCUGGGAUGAUGACCGGCUACAUUGGGACUGGGACACGGCCCAGACUCCUACGGGAGGCAGCAGUUGGGAAUCUUCCGCAAUGGGCGGAAUUCUGACGGAGCAACGCCGCGUGAGUGAUUACGGCCUUCGGGUUGUAAAGCUCUGUUAAUCGGGACGCGGUACCGGCAUAGAAAGCCACGGCUAACUACGUGCCAGCAGCCGCGGUAAUAC
rnacentral:rRNA from 1 species